rfam:Paenibacillus dendritiformis C454 PDENDC1000015, whole genome shotgun sequence.
GGUAUUACUAGGCAAAGCUAGGGAAAUCUAGUGACGCAAAGCUAAAGGGGCUAAGGAAGAAAUUCUAUGCCAGCCAGUUGCCGGC